rnacentral:lncRNA from 1 species
UUGUGGAAUGCGUAAUACUUUGUCUGAUCCAAUUUGGUAAAAUCACCCCUUAUGGGUGGCGGCAGUUUAAACCAUGGUUCAUUUUUGAACUGGUGGAGAAUUUGGCCAAUCGAAAUUGUGAACUUGGUGAAUGCCUUAGGCGCUAAAAUAUCUCUGUUUGGAGAAUGGUCCAUGCACUUAUUUUUUUUCUCAUUUUCGCAGUAUUGCUUGGCCUUAUCCCACAGUGUGUGCUUUUCUGCCAAAGCAUAAGAGUUUGCCAGGGUUAGGUACUCAUCCAUGAUCAAUUUUUCGAAAAGUGGGUGAUCUGCUGUGAGCCUUUUUCAGAAUGAUAAGCAUGCAAUGUUGUCAUCGCAUCCGACAAUCUUCGCCUUCUCUGCCUUGAAUCUUUUAACAUAUGUGCAAAGUGACUCAUUCGGGUCAUUCUUCAUGUUGUAGAGGUGAUCAGACUUCUUUUUGAUCGAGCGGUAUGAUGAAUAUUCCUUAGUGAAAACCAAGGAAAGUUCAUUGAAGUUUCGGAUUGAGCGUGGUGGCAGGGUGUGGAACCACUCUUGCGUCUUACCUUGGAGCGUCGCAGCUAAGAUUUUGCACAUAAAAGCGUCACUGUUGGCAUAGAAGGUCAUGGCUCUUCGGUUUUGCAUCAAGUGUCUGUCCGGAUCUCCAUCUC